CUACGUAGGGGGCGAGCGUUGUCCGGAAUGAUUGGGCGUAAAGGGCGCGUAGGCGGCCCGGUAAGUCUGGAGUGAAAGUCCUGUUUUUGAGAUGGGAAUUGCUUUGGAUACUGUCGGGCUUGAGUGCAGGAGAGGUAAGUGGAAUUCCCAGUGUAGCGGUGAAAUGCGUAGAGAUUGGGAGGAACACCAGUGGCGAAGGCGACUUACUGGACUGUAACUGACGCUGAGGCGCGAAAGUGUGGGGAGCAAACAGGAUUAGAUACCCUGGUAGUCCACACUGUAAACGAUGAAUGCUAGGUGUAGGGGGUAUCGACCCCUUCUGUGCCGCAGUCAACACAAUAAGCAUUCCGCCUGGGGAGUACGGCCGCAAGGUUGAAACUCAAAGGAAUUGACGGGG
rnacentral:rRNA from 1 species